rnacentral:lncRNA from 1 species
AGAACUCCAAAUAUCUGGAUGUCAACGCCAUCCCACUUCACCACAAGCUUCAGAGGACAGGUCCUAGUUAUUCUGAACCUGUCAAUACCUGGAAUUUACCUAAGGGCCAUUACUGGUUGAGGGUGGCCAAUCCUCUUAAAAUGGCCUGAUCAUAUUGAAGGGUUGGCAUUUUAUUCCAUAGUUAGGAAAGGUUUUCCCCUCUCUCCUGAGGGACAGAAACAAAGAAGAAUGUACACUCUAUCACAAUAAAUCCCUAUGCAAUAUAAUUGAUAUAACAACAUUGCCUAAAAAGUUUUCCAUUUCAUUCUGCUCAGAACUACUCCAUUGUUUAUAAUGGCUGUAUAGUUUUUCCAAGUAUUAUUUCAUCUUAAUGUACUAAUCUUUCCCAUUAUUUCUAAGCAUUAAAGUCUUAUUGAG